rnacentral:tRNA from 1 species
GGUGGCUCAAGUGGUAGAGCACCUGCCUUGCAAGCACAAGGCUUUGAGUUCAAACCCCAGCACCA